UACGGAGGGUGCGAGUGUUAUUCGGAAUCACUGGGCGUAAAGCGAACGUAGGCGGAUAGGUAAGUCAGAUGUGAAAUCCCGGGGCUCAACCUCGGAACUGCAUUUGAUACUACCUGUCUUGAGUAUGGUAGAGGUAGGUAGAAUUCCCGGUGUAGAGGUGAAAUUCGUAGAUAUCGGGAGGAAUACCAGAGGCGAAGGCGACCUACUGGGCCAUUACUGACGCUGAGGUUCGAAAGCGUGGGUAGCAAACAGGAUUAGAUACCCUGGUAGUCCACGCUGUAAACGAUGAGUACUAGGUGCGGGGGGUAUAAACUCCUUCCGUGUCGUAGCUAACGCGAUAAGUACUCCGCCUGGGAAGUACGGCCGCAAGGCUGAA
rnacentral:rRNA from 1 species